UCCCCAACCGCAACGCGUCUCAUUCCUUCUCAUCAAUCGGAAGUCUCCUCGCCCGGAGAAAGAAAGCAUCAAAGUCUACCCCUCUCUCUCUCUCUUCUCUCUCCGUCUGUCUCCCCCAUGGAUCUAUUCAAACCCUAUUUACACCAUGAAUCUUUCGAGAGGGUUUCGCCAGAGGCCAAACCCGAUCAAGAAAGAGCUCAUCAACAGAUUUUUCUGUAUCAUCUUCCGAUGGACAGAUGGAUUAUUGUUUCCCUCGAAAGAACCAACUGGAUUCACAGAAAUGCUUGACCAUCUUUGUGUUGGUCCAAGUUUAACAUAAUGAAACUGAAAUUUCCAUUACUAUUGCUGAUAGUGGCUGGUUUUGGUCGGUGGUCAAUGAUCAUGGAUCGUCAGCAAUAGCGUGGUCGAUUUUGUCAAGUCAAAAUGCCGCUGCCGGAAGGAGUUCCCCAUUUCCCACCGAUGUAGAGAUGCAGCUACUUUUGACGGAACAUUUUAUCCCUUGUUGUGGUAGGAGUUGGAAAGUAAGUCUCAGAAAACCGUACAAGCUUCUCUUCUUUUUUGAUCCGCAAGAUGAGCAACAUAUAUAUCAUCAAAAUGUGAGAGGACUAUCAGAUACAAACUCCUCUCUUCCCAAGUGCUUUAUCAUAUGGGCCAUACCUUACCGGGGAGCCACGAGGCUACCGUCACCUAUUGUAUCUAUAUUUUAUCCCAAAAGAAAAAGAAAAUAUUGAUUCUCGUGAAUAA